UACGAGGGGGGCAAACGUUGUUCGGAAUCACUGGGCGUAAAGGGUGCGUAGGCGGGUUUUUAAGUCAGGGGUGAAAUCCUGGAGCUCAACUCCAGAACUGCCUUUGAUACUGAAGAUCUUGAGUUCGGGAGAGGUGAGUGGAACUGCGAGUGUAGAGGUGAAAUUCGUAGAUAUUCGCAAGAACACCAGUGGCGAAGGCGGCUCACUGGCCCGGUACUGACGCUGAGGUGCGAAAGCGUGGGGAGCAAACAGG
rnacentral:rRNA from 1 species